UAAAGAGUACAGGGCAGCUGUAUUUGCUGAGACGUGGAAAUUUUCCGGUGUAUUCUAAGUAAUAAAGUGCAGAAGAGUGUGAGUAGGGCUGUGUGUAUGUGGUAUGUGUGUUUGCAUCUCUGGAAGUGGUUGCUUCUUAGGAUGGUCACUGUGGGACUAGGAGUGGAGGAGAGAAAGAAAACUUGCUUUUCACCGUACUAGAAUCUUCUGCACCUUUUGAAUUUUGCCGUUUAUACUAUGUCUUUACCUGUAAAGAAAAAAGAACUUUGAAAUAAAGUUGCAUUUGCUUGAA
rnacentral:lncRNA from 10 species